rnacentral:rRNA from 1 species
CAGUCGCCGCGGUAAUACGAAGGGUGCAAGCGUUACUCGGAAUUACUGGGCGUAAAGCGUGCGUAGGUGGUGGUUUAAGUCCGUUGUGAAAGCCCUGGGCUCAACCUGGGAAUUGCAGUGGAUACUGGGUCACUAGAGUGUGGUAGAGGAUAGUGGAAUUUCCGGUGUAGCAGUGAAAUGCGUAGAGAUCGGAAGGAACAUCUGUGGCGAAGGCGACUAUCUGGGCCAACACUGACACUGAGGCACGAAAGCGUGGGGAGCGAACAGGAUUAGAUACCCCUGUAGUCCCUGUCUCUUAUAC